UGCCAGCCGCCGCGGUAACACGAACUGCGCGAACGUUAUUCGGAAUCACUGGGCUUAAAGAGUGCGUAGGCGGCCGGGUAAGUUAAAUGUGAAAGCCCACGGCUCAACCGUGGAAUUGCGUUUAAUACUGCUCGGCUUGAGGAAGACAGAGGUGAGCGGAACUGAUGGUGGAGCGGUGAAAUGCGUUGAUAUCAUCAGGAACACCAGUGGCGAAGGCGGCUCACUGGGUCUUUUCUGACGCUGAGGCACGAAAGCUAGGGGAGCGAACGGGAUUAGAUA
rnacentral:rRNA from 1 species